UUUUGGACUAACUCUUCAUGGCGGGCUCCCUGCGCUUCGGUGCGGCCAACCGUCAUGGGGUAGUCUUUUCACUUCUCCCUCCCGUCAAUACAUUUUUGUUGGGUUGGGAUGCGUUGUUCGUUGCCUGCACUGUUCUACCCAUGUUGGUAGCAAUAGUGGACCCAAUGUUAUUAUGGCUCUCCUGUUGGUAGUGUUCUGUCGGCAGGGCAGCUGAGGUAUCGACAAAAAUUUCUUUUGUUGCAAUGGCUGAAUAUAACAGCCAAGGCACUGCAUUGGAAUGUUUGUCGGGUCUCAUGGAUGUUGUGCCUACUUUGUGAGCUAUGUUGGUUCCUUGAUCCACAGGCUUGGUGAUGGCCCCAUGUGUGUAUGUAUCAUUGCUCAUGCGCUCAGUAUUGAAGUGUGCGGGGAAUGUUCAUGUGCAUGUGGAGUGGCUAUCGUUAUUCGAAUGACCCUGGAUUGCUGGUUCACGAUGUUGGAUGGGCCUUCCUGCUUUGGUUGGUGCCUCUUGCAGCGUGUGUCGGCUUUCGCUUAAGAUGUGC
rnacentral:misc_RNA from 1 species